GUGUAAUUUGAAAGGAGAGCAAGUUAGCACUCCCCUAGAUAAGGAUGGAAUAUAAAACUAAAAAAUUAUAUACUUUUAU
rnacentral:ncRNA from 1 species